UACGUAGGGGGCAAGCGUUGUCCGGAUUUAUUGGGCGUAAAGAGCGUGUAGGCGGCCAGGUAGGUCCGUUGUGAAAACUCGAGGCUCAACCUCGAGACGCCGAUGGAAACCAUCUGGCUAGAGUCCGGAAGAGGAGAGUGGAAUUCCUGGUGUAGCGGGUGAAAUGCGCAGAUAUCAGGAAGAACACCCGUGGCUAAGGCGGCUCUCUAGUACGGUACUGACGCUGAGACGCGAAAGCGUGGGGAGCGAACAGG
rnacentral:rRNA from 1 species